rnacentral:rRNA from 1 species
UACGUAGGGGGCAAGCGUUGUCCGGAUUUAUUGGGCGUAAAGAGCGUGUAGGCGGCCGCACAGGUCCGUUGUGAAAACUGGAGGCUUAACCUUCAGACGUCGAUGGAAACCGUGCGGCUAGAGUCCGGAAGAGGAGAAUGGAAUUCCUGGUGUAGCGGUGGAAUGCGCAGAUAUCGGGAAGAACACCGGUGGCGAAGGCGGCUCACUGGUCCGGUACUGACGCUGAGGUGCGAAAGCGUGGGGAGCAAACAGG